GAUCAUGGCUCAGGAUGAACGCUAGCGGCAGGCUUAACACAUGCAAGUCGAGGGGCAGCGCGGGAUAGCAAUAUCCUGGCGGCGACCGGCGGAAGGGUGCGUAACGCGUGAGCGACAUGCCCGUUGCCCGAGGACAACCGGUGGAAACGCCGACUAAUCCCCGACUGGGAGUAUUGUGCCGCAUGGCACGAUAUUGAAAGUUAACGGCGGCGACGGAUUGGCUCGCGUCCGAUUAG
rnacentral:rRNA from 1 species